rnacentral:lncRNA from 1 species
UGUGAUUAUGACAUCACAGACAGUUCAGCUGCUUGCACUGGGGGAAAGGGAGAGUAUCAUGGUUACAGCUGGAUCACCUAAGGCAGAGAGGGAAGGAGCCAACAGGUAUAUGAAGAAGACUGUAUUUCCUCCUCAGGAAGAAAAAAUCACCUAUAAAUACACGAUCUCACUAUGUUGCCCGGGCUGGUCUCAGACUCAUGACCUCAAGUUAUCUUCCCACCUCAGCCUCACAAAGUGCUGGGAUUAUAGGCAUGAACAACUGCACCUGGCCAAUUACAAUCACUCCACUGGCUGCAAUAGAUGCUGACACCAUAUUUGUAUAGCCUUCUGGACUAUGAGCCAAUUAAAACUCUCUGCAUUAUAAAUUACCCAGCCUCAUGUAUUUCUUUAUAGCAAUGCACGA